rnacentral:rRNA from 1 species
CGCGGCCUAUCAGCUUGUUGGUGAGGUAACGGCUCACCAAGGCAUCGACGGGUAGCUGGUCUGAGAGGAUGAUCAGCCACACUGGGACUGAGACACGGCCCAGACUCCUACGGGAGGCAGCAGUGGGGAAUAUUGCACAAUGGGCGAAAGCCUGAUGCAGCAACGCCGCGUGCGGGAAGAAGGCCCUAGGGUUGUAAACCGCUUUCAGCAGGGAAGAAAAUGACGGUACCUGCAGAAGAAGGUGCGGCCAACUACGUGCCAGCAGCCGCGGUGACACGUAGGCACCAAGCGUUGUCCGGAUUUAUUGGGCGUAAAGAGCUCGUAGGCGGUUUUGUAAGUCGGGUGUGAAAACUCUGGGCUCAACCCAGAGAGGCCACUCGAUACUGCAAUGACUUGAGUACGGUAGGGGAGCGGGGAAUUCCUGGUGUAGCGGUGAAAUGCGCAGAUAUCAGGAGGAACACCAGUGGCGAAGGCGCCGCUCUGGGCCGUAACUGACGCUGAGGAGCGAAAGCAUGGGUAGCAAACAGGAUUAGAUACCCUGGUAGUCCAUGCCGUAAACGUUGGGCACUAGGUGUGGGUCUCAACCAACGAGAUCCGCGCCGUCGCUAACGCUUUAAGUGCCCCGCCUGGGGAGUACGG